UACGAAGGGGGCUAGCGUUGUUCGGAAUUACUGGGCGUAAAGCGCACGUAGGCGGAUAUUUAAGUCAGGGGUGAAAUCCCAGAGCUCAACUCUGGAACUGCCUUUGAUACUGGGUAUCUUGAGUAUGGAAGAGGUGAGUGGAAUUGCGAGUGUAGAGGUGAAAUUCGUAGAUAUUCGCAGGAACACCAGUGGCGAAGGCGGCUUACUGGUCCAUUACUGACGCUGAGGUGCGAAAGCGUGGGGAGCAAACAGG
rnacentral:rRNA from 1 species